AUGGGUUGAUUUGGGACUCUACAGAAAGACACCUGUUUAACAGGUGUAGUUGUAGUUGUCACCAGGAGGGGGCAGCAUACCAUACAGUCAGGAGAUCCGCUUAGGAAUCAAUGGGAGAUUCUUAAUAGGUUUUUACUAAAGGGACAGUUGUACAUUUACUGGGGGGGCUGGUCCAAAAAUGUUUUUUUUUGUUUCUUCGGUGAGGUUUGUGUGAUGUUUUUAAUUAGGCACAGGGGAUGGUAGUGUAUGUUUCCGUGGUUUACAUUCUUCAUUUUGCAGGUGUUACUAUUUACAUUUCUUCCAUAUAGCAACAUGUCCUCAUCUCCCUGCUCCUGUCCUUAAAAGGUGUUUUGGUACUUCCCUAGCGCAGUCGCUUUUCUGCACGCAACUCUAUCCUGCCCUCUAGUCAUAGUGACAGUAGUGGUAGGUUUGUCUACAUCUGCAAUAGGCUAACUAUACAGUCAACUCUAUCCUGCCCUCUAGUCAUAGUGACAGUAGUGGUAGGUUUGUCCACAUCUGCAAUAGGCUAACUAUACAGUCAACUCUAUCCUGCCCUCUAGUCAUAGUGACAGUAGUGGUAGGUUUGUCUACAUCUGCAAUAGGCUAACUAUACAGUCAACUCUAUCCUGCCCUCUAGUCAUAGUGACAGUAGUGGUAGGUUUGUCUACAUCUGCAAUAGGCUAACUAUACAGUCAACUCUAUCCUGCCCUCUAGUCAUAGUGACAGUAGUGGUAGGUUUGUCUACAUCUGCAAUAGGCUAACUAUACAGUCAACUCUAUCCUGCCCUCUAGUCAUAGUGACAGUAGUGGUAGGUUUGUCCACAUCUGCAAUAGGCUAACUAUACAGUCAACUCUAUCCUGCCCUCUAGUCAUAGUGACAGUAGUGGUAGGUUUGUCUACAUCUGCAAUAGGCUAACUAUACAGUCAACUCUAUCCUGCCCUCUAGUCAUAGUGACAGUAGUGGUAGGUUUGUCUACAUCUGCAAUAGGCUAACUAUACAGUCAACUCUAUCCUGCCCUCUAGUCAUAGUGACAGUAGUGGUAGGUUUGUCUACAUCUGCAAUAGGCUAACUAUACAGUCAACUCUAUCCUGCCCUCUAGUCAUAGUGACAGUAGUGGUAGGUUUGUCUACAUCUGCAAUAGGCUAACUAUACAGUCAACUCUAUCCUGCCCUCUAGUCAUAGUGACAGUAGUGGUAGGUUUGUCUACAUCUGCAAUAGGCUAACUAUACAGUCAACUCUAUCCUGCCC